rnacentral:lncRNA from 1 species
UGUUUCCUUUCGUACUUUCUUUCUCUUCUUUUUGUUUUCUUUCUCGUGUCUCUCUACGUUCCCCAUCAACUCUAUCGCCGUUCACCACCACACCACUGUGUACCGUCGUCGUCGGCUUCGCAUUCGCAUUCGCCUCUCACCCACCUCCGCCUUCAUCCUCUCCACCGGUUGAGGCUACUUCGCCACACAACCAUCGCCACCAUCUGCCUCCACCACGACGCCACCUUCCUCGCCGAAGAGAGCAUCACCAGUGUCGACGACAUCUCUACCAUUAUUGCCAACGACAGCCUCCCUACCACUCCAUUUUGGGGAUUUUUAUCGUAAGAACCCUAAAUUCAUAAUUUUUUGGUUAGAUUUUAGUAAAAUCUUUGUAAUUAGUUUUUGGUUUUUUGUUAGUUAUCAAUUUCUAUGUUUCAUUGGUUUUGAAACACUUUGAUCAAGGAAGAGCAUCGAUGAUGUACUUUGAAUCUUUCACAACUGAUUAUUUGAACUGAAUACCGUAAUAAAUUUUACUUCACGUAUUUACUGAAUUUUUUGAUUUGGGGUUAGAAGAAACCUCAUCUCAGUUCAUACCUACUAGUUUCCAAUGUUAGAUUCUGUUUUUUGAUGCAAUACUUAACACAAACAAUUAUCAAAUUAAUCUGCACUCUGCAGCACUUUGUAAAUACAUUAUUACAGCCAGCAGUUUCUCUUGAUUAAAAAUUCAUCAUAGAAAAGAUUGCCCAUUUGACAUUCAAAUUUUAUGUUGAUAACAUAUUGUUCUUACAUGAACAAAGUACUUAUUAUUUAUUGGCAUUGUGAGAAGGAUAAAUUGUUUUGGAAUUUUGUAAGCCAUCUAAUGAAUUAGGGUAGGUGUUACUAAUUAUGAAAUAAGUGCUAAUAAUAGGAUUUUUUUUUUUGGUCAUUUCACAUUUUCUACAUCCCAAAUCCUUUGUAUAUAUACAAACCAAACAAAAAUAUACAAAAGACCGAGUUUGAAUUCCAUUUCAUUUCCUUCGAACCAAACACAUUGUAUAAUUGAAUUUCUUAACAUUAAAUGCAUGAUAGAAUUGAUCAAUCUGAUUUCAAUUAAAAAAAUCAUCAGGAUCAAGUAACUUUCAUGUCUUAACCUCCCAAGUGUAGAAUUGAGCUGCAUUGCACUAAUUCAUUUAUGCUAUUAUGGAUCAUGUUUCUUCAUAGUUCUAAUGCUCAAUUGUUGAAAAGUCUUAUAACUGAAAAUAUUUAUAUAAUUAUUAUGCAUGAGGAUUAUUUAUUAAUACCAAUAAAAUGAAACUUAUGGUCUUGAUGUCAUUAUAGCUUCUCUUCUUGAUUGCUAAUGAUAAUGGAGCUUUUGUAGUUUCUCCUCUCGAUUGCUAAAGAACAUUCCAUUUUUUGUUUCUUUGGACAUGCAGUGAUAGUAUAACAAGAUGGAUGACAAUGAUAGUCAUUUUAAAUCCAAGAGAAUUGUUUUUGUGACUGAACAAGUGAAAGAAGAACUGUCAAAGAAAGGAUACACCCACCUUGUCAUUCAAAUGGGUCAUGAAUCUCCUACAUCCCCCAAAAGGUAUAUUUAAUUAUGUUUUUAUAUUAAUUUACUUUUAGUUGAUUGAAUUAAAUUGAAUCUAAUUUGAUUGAAGCCAUAUCUAACGGACUACCGGAUAGAGUUUGACUUUUACGUGUUUGAGUUGACUUGCAAGUUGCAAUCAACAGCUAUGUAAAAAAAUUGUUAAUCCCUCAAUUGCCAUUUCAUUUUGAUAUAAACAUAUAUCGCUUGAGUACUUCAAUAUUCAAAGCAUAUUACCAAAUACCAAAGCAUAUUACCUCAGUGAAAGUUGGAUAUAUUAUUUCUUAGAUCAAGGACUCGUUGCAUUAUUUGGCCUUUUAUGCUUAGCAAACAAAAUAAACUUGAACUCUUUUUCCUUCUUUUUCAAACUAACCAUUGGUCCUGGAGGUAUAAUAUGUCUUUAGAGUAAAAUUAUAUCACAUAUUUCAUUGUAGAAGGGUUACAAAGGGUGGUUGAAUACAAUAUUUAGAAGAAAACAUAAUAUUUGUUGUUAAUAAACUUUAAAGGUUAAGUUGAUGACUUGUCGUAUAGUAUAUUUAGCUUUUAGAUAGAUGCCCUUUUAUGUAAUUUUACAUAUUUCAAAAGCUUCUAUCUACUUUUGCCAAACACUCGUAACAAAAGCUCUAGCUUCUGGUUACCAGCUAGUUUUGUCAAACACGCCCUAAACCUACAAGCAUUUAAAAAUGAAUUGUUUUACCAAGUGUUACAUGAUAAAAAAGAGAAACAAAAUAUAAUAAAGAUUUUAAGAAAGCAUAUAUACAUUAUGCCUUUUUCCAACCUUUAUGUUGUGUUUACGUAUAUACAUGCCACUUUGUUACUUGAUAAACAUGAAAGAUGUGAAUAGUUUAGAACUUAUUCUUAGAGCCGAAUUAAAAAAUCGAUUUUGUUACUUGAUAAACAUGAAAGAUGUGAAGACUUAUUCUUAGAGCCGAGUUAAAAAAUCGAUUGUUUGAUAAAGGUUAUGGAUAUGACUCCUAAUGGCAAAGACAAGCAUAUGUGGAAUUAUAAUUACGUUGCC